GUUUGUGUAGCUUAACCAAAGCAUAGCACUGAAAAUGCUCAGAUGAAUUUUAAUUAAUUCCACAAGCA
rnacentral:tRNA from 1 species